rnacentral:rRNA from 1 species
ACUCAAAGGAAUAGACGGGGACCCGCACAAGCGGUGGAGCAUGUGGUUUAAUUCGAGGCAACGCGAAGAACCUUACCAGGCCUUGACAUGGGUAGUAUGGAUCGUGGAAACGCAAUCCUUCAGUUUGGCUGGCUACCACACAGGUGCUGCAUGGCUGUCGUCAGCUCGUGUCGUGAGAUGUUGGGUUAAGUCCCGCAACGAGCGCAACCCUCAUCCUUAGUUGCCAACAGGUCAAGCUGGGAACUCUAAGGAAACUGCCGGUGAUAAGCCGGAGGAAGGUGGGGAUGACGUCAAGUCUUCAUGGCCCUUACGGCCUGGGCCACACACGUGCUACAAUGGCGGUGACAAUGGGCAGCCAACCCGCAAGGGUGCGCUAAUCUCAAAAAGCCGUCUCAGUUCGGAUUGCACUCUGCAACUCGAGUGCAUGAAGCUGGAAUCGCUAGUAAUCGUAGAUCAGCACGCUACGGUGAAUACGUUCCCGGGUCUUGCACACACCGCCCGU